AUGGCAUGCUCUUUCAUACGAACAAUGAACACGAAAAUCCAAAACACUCCAGCUCAGUUCAACUUAAGCAAUCAUAGUACCUGCAAAAUGCGGUCCAAGUGUGGCCCCGACACAACCUCGCUGGAUAUAACGACCACGAAGGUGCUCCCACGAUGGCCCCGUAUGUACGGCCACGCCUCCCGGAAGAACCCGACGAACUCCUCCCCCGCGUCCACGCCGCCGCCGCCGCCGCCGCCGGGAUGGCGAACCGCGCAGCACCGGACGCUGCGCAGACGCCGGCGAGGCGGGGGAAGCCGCAGGCUGCCGGGCGGAAGGCCCCGGGCAGUAGAACCCUGA
rnacentral:rRNA from 1 species